GUGGGAUAUGGUGACAUGUACCCUGAAACUAUGGGAGGCAAAAUUGUGGGGUCUCUUUGUGCCAUUGCUGGAGUACUCACUAUCUCGCUUCCAGUACCUGUCAUUGUUUCCAAC
rfam:Ophiophagus hannah scaffold456.1, whole genome shotgun sequence.